rfam:Alloscardovia omnicolens F0580 genomic scaffold Scaffold96, whole genome shotgun sequence.
GCCGUGAUAGUCAAGUGGUUAAAGACAUCAGACUAUAAAAUCUGACGCAACAAUUGCUAUGCAAGUUCGAAUCUUGCUCACGGUG